AUUGAACGCUGGCGGCAGGCCUAACACAUGCAAGUCGAGCGGAUGAGUGGAGCUUGCUCCAUGAUUCAGCGGCGGACGGGUGAGUAAUGCCUAGGAAUCUGCCUGGUAGUGGGGGACAACGUUUCGAAAGGAACGCUAAUACCGCAUACGUCCUACGGGAGAAAGCAGGGGACCUUCGGGCCUUGCGCUAUCAGAUGAGCCUAGGUCGGAUUAGCUAGUUGGUGAGGGAAAGGCUCACCAAGGCGACGAUCCGUAACUGGUCUGAGAGGAUGAUCAGUCACACUGGAACUGAGACACGGUCCAGACUCCUACGGGAGGCAGCAGUGGGGAAUAUUGGACAAUGGGCGAAAGCCUGAUCCAGCCAUGCCGCGUGUGUGAAGAAGGUCUUCGGAUUGUAAAGCACUUUAAGUUGGGAAGAAGGGCAGUAAGUUAAUACCUUGCUGUUUUGACGUUACCGACAGAAUAAGCACCGGCUAACUUCGUGCCAGCAGCCGCCGUAAAAC
rnacentral:rRNA from 1 species